rnacentral:ncRNA from 2 species
CUUACCGGAGGCUUCAUGGAUCCCGAUCCCACACCUCUCCUGAACGGGAGAAUGCGUUCUUUCCGGUAAGCCAGCUUUUGCUGUCUCACCGGCGUGAGGCAGCAACGUCU